CCACCUUUAGAAAACUUUAAUACAGGGUGAGGACAGAAAAAUAGGUCAUCUAUUCACAGAACUGAAAUGCUUCAUUACUCCAAGCUAAAAAUAGAAACUGCGUAUAAAACUUGCCAACAUUUGUCUCAAAGUUGUUCUAUCAAAUUCAUUUGGUUUCCCUCAGAUCGGUUUUUUAAAAAAAAAAACUUGCCAUCUACCAUUCCUCCGGGCUUGGAAGUCUGCCCUCAAAAGCUUCAGACAAGAUGAGAAAACAAGCCUGAAAAAGAAAAACCUACGACACCCGGAAAUCGGCCUACAUCCCCGUAGUAAAUCCCUUGACGCUUAAGUACGCAACUCCCCCGUUACCGUUAGGAAAAUAAGGAAAGGUUACCACGCUCAAGUUACCAAAAACAACCCAGCACGGUGUUUAUUUUACAGAUUGUGUUCUCUCUGCUUUGGCUUCAUUCUUAAGACAUUUAAAACUGGAGCCGAGAACGAAGCGAAGCCCUUCCGCAGAGCCGCGGCCUUCUCCUGCAGUUCCAGCAGUUUCCUUUCUGGAACAUCCUCUGCCCUCCCCCCGUAAAGGAAGCUGACCUAACCCCGGGACGCCAGGACCUGCCGCUGCGCCUCAAGGACUUGAGAGACACCCGGGGCCCGGGCGAGGCCUGAGGGUUUGGAAACGAAAAUGGCGCCGGGUGGGGGUCCCGGCCCCGGUUUCCACGCGGCUAAAGCGGCGGCGCAGAGAAGCAGCGGGUCGCCUUCGUCUGAAACGCUGGCGGUGGCGAGGGCUCCGACUGGGCCAGCAGCCAAGAAACAAGCAGUGAGAGAAAAUGGAGAGAGCUCCGGGCGCAGCGUCGUUUAAAGCCUGGAGCCCAGGACAGGAUGGGGUGGUGACACCCACCCUCCCCUCCUCUCUCACCUCCAGGGUCUUUAUUCUAGAACCUCCGAAAUGGCCUGUGUUUGGGCAAUAAAUUCAAGAGAGGAAGAAGGAGUUUAGUGACGUGGUGUUGGUUAGGAUGGCAAUUAAAUAGUGAUGGGCCGUGUCUAAACUUGCUACCCUGUAUUUUAAAAACCCCUUAGGCUCCUGUAAGUGACAGUGGCUGUGACAAGGUGGGGGAGCCGGCCUGGGGGUCGCCUGGGGGUCUCGUAUGCUAAUGCCCCACCUUCCCCUCACCCCCGAAGAAGCAGGGCCUUUAAAGCAGCUAUUCUAGGGUGACCUUGCCAAAAUUAUUCUUGUUUCAUCUUUCUUUCUUCUCCCCGCCCCGCUUGCUUUGAAGAGUGGAAUAUUCCUGAGACGCAGACCUUCCCUUCAGACACAGUCUUGAUGUUUGCUCUGGGAUUGGAAAAGUUUUGGUAGAACUUGGGCCCUGGAAGGAGGAAAACUGAGUUGGGUCACCUCCUUUUACAAAUGGAAUUUGGGAGCCUGGGGAGUUUGUGAUUUGCCUAAAAUCACACGCAGCUAAUUAGUACCAGAACCGAUUCUGGAAUCCCCAGAUUUGACUUCACGCUGCCGCCCUGUCUCCGCUCUGCGCCCCCCAGCUGCUGCCGUCUCCCAGCCCUUCUGUCCCUUCCCCUUUCUUUCUCCAGGGCUGGGGGUGGAUUUAGGACCCCCUCUGUUAUCUCUGCUCCCUCUCCCACUGUGGAGCCCAUGAAGUAAAUGUUAAGAGCCCUAAGAUGCUUGCAGUAAUUGUCAGUGUCGCUAAACUAGUCAUUUCCAUUCCUUUUACAGAUUAAAGCAUUUUCCUUAUACUGUUAAAAUGGCUGAACUGUAUAUUAUUUGCUUAAUUCGCUCUGGGUUUGGGAAAAGAAAUAGAGAUUUGAAUGAAGCUCAGCACUCAGGAAUCUCUUAUGCCAAAAGAGAUGGCUUGCCAAGGCCGGAGAGAAAAUUCUAAUUGUUUUUCCCCAGUUGGUAAAUGAAAAAUAUUUUAGAGAAGAUUAUGGGCAGUAUUAACCCCCGUUUUUACUGUUUCGGCCCAAACAUUUACUGCCCUCAUCUCUCCUAGCUUUCAUUUCACAAAACUGUCUGGCUGUCUCCAAAAUAUUCGAAUUCCUUCCUUGUUUUUUUUAUAUAGUGAGUUUCUUCUUUUCUGGAAGAUUUAUUUAAACAAGAUAGCCUAAAGUCACCAUGUUCUUUGGUGAGGAGAUUAAUAAUACAUUUGAUUAUGUGCCCUCCUCUCAGUUCUUUGAGCUCAGGAUCCCUUUUACGUAAAACUAAAUUUUUUCAAGGCAUCUUUGCUCUGGCCUGCAUCCAUGGUCCUUUUAGCUUCAGAAUGUCCCAUUGCGUCUGCUCUCUCCACUGGUGCUUCAGCAUUCUGUCUCUUGCCCUGCGCCUCAG
ensembl:lncRNA